UAAUCAAUUUAAUAGUUAGUCUAAUAAAAAAUAUAAUAUAUAUUUAUAUGGACCAACUUAUUUUUCUAAAGAUUCUAAGAAUCAUCCUAGUGAUACACAUGUCUACGAAAACAUAUUGUAAUGCUCCAUGAUAUUAAUAUACCGAGGAUAUGGAUAAUACUUUAAACAAAGACCCUAAUUAUUAUAGCAAAAUACUAAAAUCUAUUGACUAUAAAUAAUUAAUAUCAUGCAGGACAUGUGGCAUGUGGGUAAACGGAGACUACUUAUUUGUUAAACUAAAGAGAGUUCAAUUCUUCUUUUGAAAAUCUUUGAAUGCCAAUCAAUGGCGAUCUCUCACGUUCAUCCAAUGUUCAUCGGCAUGUUAAAGUGAUUGAGAAACUUGACCUUUCCUCCUGCAACUUGAUUCUUAUGUUAACCAUUUGUUUCUCGUCAUGUACACUAACGUUAGAAACAAACUUCCUUGAAUCAUUUGCAAUAGGUCCAUGAAUCAUACAUGCUUCAACCAGAAGAAAUUCCUGAUUCAUACCUGCAAAAUAAUCCCAACCAACAAUUUGUUAGUUUUAAAUUCAAACCUGAGAUUGUACUUAUGGUCAAUUUUUAAAAAAUUAAAGCAUCAUGUUGAUCCACUAGAACUUGCCACCUAACUCCACCUCGCUAGAAUGACUUUCGAAACAAUUAUAUUUGCUUAACCUUGUCGAAAAUCCUUCUGCAUCAGAAUUGCUGUGAACUCCUAUUUGUACCACCAUUACAACCAAUAGAACCAAUCGUCCAACUGUUAACCUUGCUAGACUGAUUCUGGAUACAACUCUAGCUCAAGCAGUUCGGCCAAAAGUCAUCUACUCUAGAGCCCUGAUAUCUCUUCUCUGCUAUGCCAUCCCCUAACACCUUUACCUGUAGGCGGAUCACACCAGACUUGGUGUUCGCAUCACGUUUUGUCUCAGACCCAAUCAGUACCUCAUUCUGAUUUAUUAGCAUUCUUCAAUCAAGCUGUGAAUGCUGAUACAACUCACGUAAGUAGCAAUUCUCUGCUAUACCGAGAUAAAUAUUUCAUUUGCUUCUUUGUGAUGCUCCAAAGACACAGGUAAACCCUACUUGUUCUUUACCCCAGUGCAGUUUGACGCUUCUGCAUUUCCAUUCAGUUAUGAAUGUACUUCACUUGCUUAACUUCUCUGAUAUGAUCAGUACUUCUUUAACCUCUAGUCAAACCAUUUAAUUCCUUUUGCAUAGAUGCUCUUGAGACUAUCCUUGUAGACCUUGCAUCCAAUCUCCUUCAGUUUCCCUUUCAAGAGAACAUUGAACCAUCCAUUUGUCCUUAUCUCAUAUAUACUUACACCACCAUCUCAUUAGCAUUUGAGAUAUCUGCAGCUCUCCAUUAGAUGUCCUCACUAUCAUCAAUCACCCCAUCAGACCUUAGCAGCCUCCACUUUUACCUUCUACAGAAAUAACCAACAUGUGACUGAUCUUGUUUACAUAUUUUCCUGACCUUGGAUCCAUAUUUUCCUCUCACAUUUAUCACCAUGAAUUCAUCCGAAACCAGUGACUCAUUCCUCUAUUAACUCUUUUCCUCCGUGAGCUAAUAAUCUUUGAUUCCAUAAACGUAUGAGUUCAGUACCCCACAUUAAACCAAACUUAUCAUAAGUUUAUUUGUGCUUCUUUUAUCUGCAGAGACUCCACCUGAAGCUUGAAUCAUUAAAACUUCCAUAUUUUUCUCACACUUAGCCCCACCUUGAGAGACAAUCAUCACUGUCUCAUUUUACAAUCAUGGCAUGUUGCUAUAUUAGGUGUCCUAGACCUCACGACACAUUCCUUAUUAUUUCAGCCACUGCAACAAUUCCCUUAUAUAAGAGAAGAUCCACCAAAACGCUUCCCUUUGCUUUCUUGUGCUACUCGGUUGAACCGGCUUUGAUUGCUACGACAUUCCCCUUUGAAUGUAUGCACCAUUUUUCCUUCACAUCAUGCUAUAUAUUGAGUUUCCAUAUUUGAUCAACCUGUAAGCGUUUUUGUCUUGUCUCAUACUAACACAAUGUGUGAUGCUGGUAAUCCUGGAGACCCUGCAGAAGCUAGUACAUUUCUGACCCGCACUGCUCCACCAAUCUCUGGUGUACAUGCAAGUUUGCCUUUCUCAGACUUUACUGAAGUUCGAGGGCUAUUCUAUGGCGAUCUCUCUCUUUCAUCCUAUGCUACUUUUGAUCCUAUCACUUUUCUUCUUGCCUACUUUGUUGGCCAUCCCUUUCGACGACUGCGGUUUGCUCCUUAUAACAUUUUUCUGUAUCUUGUUACGUUAUCUACAAAAUAAUAUUAGGAGUUGAAAGCUUUAAACAACUUUUUAACACUCUCGUUUUGACCUGGUUCAUGGAAACUAAGUCAAUAGGAUUGUACAGUACAAAAAUAAUUGGUUUGUUUGGGAAUUCGAGGUUUAUAGGAUUGGCCCCAUAAUUAAGGCAAACAACUGAAUCUGGAUCUAUCACAGUCUCUCCUGUUAUAUUUGACUCAAUAUAUCUCAUAUACUAAGACCAUGAUUUUCGCAGGGAUCUUUGAAGUUUUUUUCUUUUUCUCAAAAAAUAAAAUAAAAAAAUAAACCAAUCGCGGGUCGCCAUGAGUCGGUAGAGCCCGCAAAUAGUGCCAAAACCUCCCAAUUACCGAUCCUUAUUUGGUGAUUUUAGAGAGUGGUUUUUAAAUUUUUGUGGGACCCACGCGUCAGUGGGGUCCACAUUUUGUCAAAAAACCUCCCUAAGGACCUUGAGUUCAUGCUCUAAUGUAUUCCGUGCGUCCUUUUUGUUUAUUAUGAAUCUUGUAGCGUCCUUUUUGUUUAUUAUGAAUCUUGCACUCUUCACUGGCAUUAAUCACUGACUGUUGUAGGCUUUAAAAGUUAUCCAAUCAAAGUCACUGGUGUGGAGCUAUUUAAGGAGCAGCACAAAGCAAGCUUUAACAUAACCGUUUCUACAAAUAAAGUAAUCACUGGAGGAAUCGUGCAUUUGCAAGUCCAAUAUGGCUACAAGACUAUCAUGGACCACACAUACAACCUCAGUGAACUGAUCACUUGUCCUUUUUCACCUGGUGCUGUUGUGCUUUCUUUUCGCAAACAAUUUCCUUACGCAAAAGAAUUGAUGACGCCCAUGAUUUACUUAAACCUUAUUGAGGAGCCUCAGGAAGAGGAAAUUAUGUGUCUCGUCUUCUGCUAUGAUACUUCAAGUAGCGGUGUGGUUUUUGCUUAGGCAAGUUCGGGGGAAAAAAUAUGUUCUCAAUUCUCUACAUGAAUCUGAAUUCUUACUACUAGCUAGUACAAAACCAGCAUUCUCUAUGUUGUUAUCCAAGAAAUAAGAAAGGGUGUAUAUACCCUUAACUGAUUUUCAAAAUUUUCAACUUUGGUCUAGUUUAAUUUCGAUGAACAUUAUUAAAUCCUGAAGUAAUCUAACACAAGAGCAUCUUGUUUCCUGAUGCUACCCCAAAGUUCUCUGUCUUCUUUUGGAUAAUGAUGCACAAUCGUCUUGCAACGGGUGAUCGCGUUUAGAAGUGGAAUGCACAGUCAGACACAAAUUGUAUCCUCUGUACGGCUCCAAUGUCGAGGGAGGAUCUUUUCUUUAGCUGCCCUUUCUCGGAGGAGAUUUGGCAGAAUCUCUCAAAGAAUCUUCUUGGAGCAAAGUACUCAAGUUGCUGGGUUGGUUGCUCUUCUUCAAGGGAUUAGAGACAAGGACACAUAUGUUUUUACUUAGAUAUGCGUUUCAUACGCGCAGACAUGGAGAAGUUCAUCAGAAAGCAGCAAGUAAAACACGUUUCGUAAACAAGCUUGUUCGUUACAGUAUCUCUUUUCUCACUCGAGGAAGAAGAAGAAGACGUUUUGAUCAUGCUAUGACUUAGCUAUCUCUUGAGCAAAAUUGCUUAUUCCAGUUAUUCAAUCUAUUUUCUGCAUUCACCUUAAAAGCAAUGCCACACAUGUUGUAAAAAAGCAAUGCCAUACAUAAACUCUCAAUCAUAAUCAUAAAAAUGAAACCUUAAAUGCCGUGAGAAGAGGGAGCAACCGAGGUCCACAUGAAAGAGAGAGAGAGAGAGAGAGAUUUAAAGAAGCGUACUUGCAAAUAGCCGUAUCCAUCUUGUUAAUAAGCGUCAUGUGACGAUAAUAAUAGGAAAAAUCAUAUUGACAAGGACUAGGCCUGAAGACAAUACCAAAUCAAUCACUACCGUAGCGAGCAUCACCUGUACGCAUCAUUUCGACGGUGCAGCAGGCAAAGCCAAAGGACAGAUCAAUCUCCUAUAUAUGGUUCAAGUGAAAAAUCGAUAGGUACCCG